rnacentral:rRNA from 1 species
UACAGAGGGGGCAAGCGUUAUUCGGAAUUACUGGGCGUAAAGCGCACGUAGGCGGCUUUGUAAGUUAGAGGUGAAAGCCCGGGGCUCAACUCCGGAAUUGCCUUUAAGACUGCAUCGCUAGAAUUGUGGAGAGGUAAGUGGAAUUCCGAGUGUAGAGGUGAAAUGCGUAGAUAUUGGGAGGAACACCAGUGGCGAAGGCGGCUCACUGGACCGGUUCUGACGCUGAGGCGCGAAAGCGUGGGGAGCAAACGGG